rnacentral:misc_RNA from 1 species
AACUUUCAGCAACGGAUCUCUUGGCUCUCGCAUCGAUGAAGAACGCAGCGAAAUGCGAUAAGUAAUGUGCAUUGCAGAAUUCAGUGAAUCAUCGAAUCUUUGAACGCACCUUGCGCUCCUUGGUAUUCCGAGGAGCAUGCCUGUUUGAGUGUCAUUAAAUUCUCAACCUUCCAGCUUUUAUGAGCUUGGUUAGGCUUGGAUGUGGGGGUUGCGGGCUUCAUCAAUGAGGUCGGCUCUCCUUAAAUGCAUUAGCGGAACUUUUGUGGACCGUCUAUUGGUGUGAUAAUUAUCUACGCCGUGGAUGUGAAGCAGCUUUAUGAAAUUUUGCUUCUAACCGUCCAUUGACUUGGACAAUUUUGACAAUUUGACCUCAAAUCAGGUAGGACUACCCGCUGAACUUAAGCAUAUCAAUAAGCGGAGGCU